rnacentral:rRNA from 1 species
AACGUAGGUACCGAGCGUUAUCCGGAUUUACUGGGCGUAAAGCGCGUUCAGGCGGUUUGGCAAGUCGGGCAUGAAAUCUCUCGGCUCAACCGGGAGAGGUUGUCCGAUACUGCUGGACUUGAGGGCAGUAGAGGGUGGUGGAAUUCCGGGUGUAGUGGUGAAAUGCGUAGAUAUCCGGAGGAACACCAGUGGCGAAAGCGGCCACCUGGACUGCACCUGACGCUGACACGCGAAAGCUAGGGGAGCAAACAGG